CAGUCGCCGCGGUAAUACGAAGGGGGCUAGCGUUGUUCGGAAUCACUGGGCGUAAAGGGUGCGUAGGCGGAUUUUUAAGUCAGGGGUGAAAUCCCGAGGCUCAACCUCGGAACUGCCUUUGAUACUGGGGAUCUUGAGUCCGGAAGAGGUGAGUGGAACUGCGAGUGUAGAGGUGAAAUUCGUAGAUAUUCGCAAGAACACCGGUGGCGAAGGCGGCUCACUGGUCCGGAACUGACGCUGAGGCACGAAAGCGUGGGGAGCAAACAGGAUUAGAUACCCCAGUAGUCCCUGUCUCUUAUAC
rnacentral:rRNA from 1 species